GCAGAGAUCGCCAAGCCUGGCCAAAACACCUAAUCGGGUGGCUAGCGGCGCUAGACCGAGGCUCUAGUCUCAUAGGGGUUCGUGGGUUCAAAUCCCACUCUCUGCA
rnacentral:tRNA from 1 species